rnacentral:lncRNA from 1 species
CCACUUGCACGUUCACUCAUAUAUGCUGCUUCUACUCCAGAAGUACGCAUCCACAUACAUCCACUCAUUUCCAUCUCUAGAUCCACCUAAAAUUAUUCUAGUCCUAUCCGGGAGAGAAUAACCAAAAACAUUCUCCUAUCCCUGUUAUUCCCUAUGAAAUAAAUGCUCAAGUUAUCUUGGUUACUACCACUUGCUAUAUUAUUCUAGGGAGAUGAGUGCUCUGAAGCAAAAAUGAAUACGAGGAAAUAAAAAGGGGCAAGUGCCCAGAAUCUCGAAGAAAAAAAAAAGUGAGACGAGAGGUAAAAAUGGACAAGUGUCCGACAGUAAAGUUAGGGGUACAAGAGACCCACCUGAGAGAAAAGAAAAAUAUAUAUAUAGAGAGAGCAGCUCAUUCUCCUCAAAAAGCUUCAAAGUGCAAGGAAGGUAUGUAUCCCAUUAAAAGAGCAAAAGUAGAAUUAGACUUUGACCAUUGUUAUCACCAUUGUUGACGGUUCUUAAGUAUCAAUUUUAAUUAUGAAAUAAACCAAAAAAAAGGACUAAUAUACAAAUAACACCUAGAAUUAGGGUUUGAUCUCACAGAAUUCCAUUAGUUUUGCUGUUUAUCUAUUUCUGCAGGGGGUUAUUAGGAAAUAUGGAAGAAAGGCCCAC